ensembl:lncRNA
UAUGAGAACACUAAGCUCAGUAACAACAGCAACAACAACCAAAAGAUCACUUUUAGUUUCCAGUUUCACUAAAAUACCUUUUCUGCUCUCUAUGUCCAUCCUGUGCCCUUCAAUAUGUAGUUAAUUAUAUCUUUUGCUACUGAAAGAUGCCACGUUGGUACAGAUUCACAGAAUUGAGUUUUAGAUCAUCUAAAUCUAUCAGACUCCUGGAGAUGCCUGGAUUCUGCAAGUUGUUUAAGAGCUCUAGGCUUCCAGAUGUGGGAACUCUAAGCUCUCUCACCGAACUGAUCACAAGUUUCUGUCAGCAACAGGAGAGAAGAGUGUGAAUAGAAAGACUUUACAGCAAAUGGUU